rnacentral:rRNA from 1 species
AACGUAGGAGGCAAGCGUUAUCCGGAGUCACUGGGCGUAAAGGGCGCGUAGGUGGUUGCGUAAGUUGGUUAUGAAAGCUCCUGGCUAAACUGGGAGAGGUUGACCAAGACUGCGCGACUUGAGUGGAGAAGAGGUAAACGGAAUUCCGCGUGUAGUGGUGAAAUGCGUAGAGAUGCGGAAGAACACCAGUGGCGAAGGCGGUUUACUGGUCUCCAACUGACACUGAAACGCGAAAGCAUGGGUAGCGAACGGG